rnacentral:rRNA from 1 species
GACGAACGCUGGCGGCGUGCCUAACACAUGCAAGUCGAACGAGGUCCAUUCUUCGGGAGAAGACCUAGUGGCGAACGGGUGAGUAACACGUGAAGAACCUGCCCCGAAGACCGGGAUAACCCUCCGAAAGGAGAGCUAAUACCGGAUACCCCCACCGAACCGCAUGGUUUGGUGAGGAAAUGGAUUCCGCUUCGGGAGGGCUUCGCGGCCUAUCAGCUAGUUGGUGGGGUAACGGCCCACCAAGGCAUCGACGGGUAGCUGGUCUGAGAGGACGAUCAGCCACACUGGGACUGAGACACGGCCCAGACUCCUACGGGAGGCAGCAGUGGGGAAUCUUGCGCAAUGGGCGAAAGCCUGACGCAGCAACGCCGCGUGGGGGAUGAAGGCUCUCGGGUUGUAAACCCCUUUCAGCAGGGACGAAUCAAGACGGUACCUGCAGAAGAAGCCCCGGCUAACUACGUG